GCCUUCUGUGCGGGGCAGCUCUGCCUCACCUGGGGGUGCAAUGUCUGGAGGUGCCAGGCCUGGGGCUGGGCUCCCCUCGCAGGGGUCUGUAUAUCCACGUGCCACCGACACAUCCCGGGCAGGGACUGCCCUGGGUGGCCUGGACGGUCGCCUGCCCUCUCACUGCAGAACCAGCUGCCUGUCACUUAGAUCUCUCUGUGCCCAGUGGCAGGAGGGUGCCCAGGUGCUGCCAGGCCUCCAGGCAGAGUGCCCCCUCCUCCGCGGCCCACCAUGUCCUGCGGCUGCCUCCAGGGCCCGUGGGGGACGAUCCUGCACUAGCUGUCUGAAUGCCCAUGUGCACUGAGGGGCCUGGGUGCACGGUGGAGCAUCCCCGGCCACAGGGCUUCCCCCUCAGCUUGGCAGCUGCCUGCCCAGCACAGGGGCCUGCUCGAACGGCUUCCCUGCUGCAGUGGGGCUGAGGGGGGCCCAGCUCGGAGGCUUUCCUAGGAAUCUGUCCUCGCUGGGACGUGUGUGUGUGUGUGUGGUGGGGGGGGGGAUUAGAGCUAUAGACACACAAAGCCUCCCUGGGAAGAGGACUGGCCAUGGGUGGCACAGUGCUGCUCACCCAGGGGGGAGGGCAGCUGGGCCUGGACCCUGGCAGGACACAGGGCCUGGCUCUCCCCCAGCACCUCAUGGAGCUGUUUCAGCUGUUCAUGGUGGCUGCGAAAUGCCCCCCCAGGUGCUUAAGAGCCUUUGCUGAGGGACCUUGUCAAAGGCUUUCUGAAAAUCUAAGUACAGUAUAGCCACUGGAUCCUCCUUGUUGACCCCCCUUAAAGAAUUCUAGUAGAUUGGUGAGACAUGAUUUCCCUUUACAAAAACCAUGUUGACUCUAGGGCUGUCAAUUCAUCACAGUUAACUCACACGAUUAACUAAAACAAAUUAACUGUGAUUAAAAAAAUUAGUCACGAUUAAUCGCACUGUUAAAUAAUAGAAUACAAAUUGAAAUUUAUUAUAUAUUUUUGGAUGUUUUUCUACAU
rnacentral:lncRNA from 1 species